GGCAGAACAACAGAUUUGUACCUUGUCAACUCAGGGAUUUGAGCUUGCAACCUUUCGGUUAUUAAUCCAAUUCUCUAACCACUAGGCUACGCUGCCGCCCCGGCCAGAGGAAGAGCUGUCAUUCAUUGAAGAGGAACCCUGUCUGGAUGGAUGGUGGAAGUUUGGCACCAGCUGUUAUUAUGUCUCCUCCAGGAUGGAAACAGCUGGGGGCAGUCAGAGAAAGUGCAGAACAAUGUGUGCUGCCUUGGUUAUUAUAAACAGCAGAGAAGAACAGGGUUAAUACGGAAUCUGGGAGUGGGUUGGCAAAACACCAUUUAACCUCUACCUAUUGGAUGGAAGGGGAACCAAAUAACUUGAAUGACAAGGUGGCUUGUGUUGAGAUCUCACAGACGGCAUCAGACCCAUUGAAGAAUUGGAAGGAUGGACCAUGUGCUCCUCGAAAAUACUGUGUGUGUGAAAAACCAUUCACACUGUAGUCCAAUUGCAAUAGCAAAUGUAAUUCCCUAUCUUAUAGAGUUGAACUGGUUUUCACUGUGUUAGGCUGAACCUCUUUUUGUUUCUAUUUGUAACUACAUUGAAAGACGUAUUUGAUGUCUUUAAAGAGACCAUGUCUAUGUGGAGUUUGUCCACCAUUCAUCAGGCCCAGGGGAGUGGAACUGUGGAUUCAUAGUCUCUAACUGUGGUUUACAUAUUAUUAUUUUUUACCAUAAUUUACUAUUAUGUUUUUUAAAUGUACCAUUGUGGUGUGCAUAUAAAAAAAUAUCAUUGAAGUUUUUACAGUUAUCAACCCAUUUCAAAUGCAGCAGUGUUCUAUAUUUGUGUCCAUUCUGUUCCAUAUGUAUCAUGUGUUCAUUCUACUGACUAAAUACAUCUAUAUACUGUGAUCCAGAUAUACUGUAUUACUAAGUGUUGUAAUGUACUAAUAGUAACU
rnacentral:lncRNA from 1 species